GGGUCAGUAGGUUGGUCGUGCCACCGGUACGUACUGGUCUCACUGAUUCCUCCUUCCUGAAGAACCGUAAUGCCAUUAAUUUGGUGUUGCGGGGAAACAGGACUGUUACUUUGAAAAAAUUAGAGUGCUUAAAGCAAGCUAACGCUUGAAUACAUUAGCAUGGAAUAAUGUAAUAGGACGAUCGAUCCUAUUUUGUUGGUUUCUAGGAUUGACGUA
rnacentral:rRNA from 1 species